UAAUUGCUUCGAUUGAAGAAAGACCUACCUGACAUGAGACCAAGACUUUGACCAUUGUUACUGGCUCUCGAUGGAGAGUCAUCAAGUGAUCAGCACAUAGUCUCGAAAUGACUGGUAUCACACUCUGAGGCAUCCGAUGCAGAGAUCUCUGAGCUAAAUCACUCAACACCAAAUAAGUCGAUGCUGGCACUUAAGCAAGCAUCGGGAGUGCUAUUCCUGUCCCAAUAUCCAAAAGCAUCAUUACACCAUUUGACGGUGUUCUGGGGUGGACGACCGGAGGAUGUAUUCUUGCCCUCGGAGA
rnacentral:lncRNA from 1 species